CUCCUUCACCUCCUCCACCUCAGCAAUCAACUACACCCAGCCAGCUGUCAAUCACUCUGCUGAUUUCCUGAUUCCUAACCUCACCCAGCCAGCUGUCAAUCACUCUGCUGACUUCCUGUUUCCUGCUGCAGAGCCCGCCCACCAAGGAUGCUACAGCUGUGUUUAUCAUGUCCAUGUUUUCUCUCGUAACUUCUCCUCUGAGAGCCGUCAGCUCUCUGUCUCUGUUGUAGAUCCGAGACCUUUUAUCAUCAGAGCGGUCGUCCUGACGCUGAUUCUGCUGGUGGCGAACAUUGCCUCUUACUUCUAUUUUAAGACCCACAGGGUCUACAGGGUGCAGAAGCCCCGCAGACGGGAGGACGUGGAGCUGGAUUAUUAUAACCUGGGUGUUCCUGCAGCUGAAGGAGGGCCGACUGAAGAAUAAGGAGCUCAGGGAGCAGAGUAGCACCUCCAAGCAGCUCGUCUCACACCCACAUGGAUUUAUAUUCACAAGUUCCCUUCAAUAAUCAGGAUUUGUUACAUUACAUUAUGUUGAAAAGACCACAACAUGUCCCUGAGCCUAUCGGUUCCUACAGAAGACCUAAAAACACCUCACUAAAGUAAGAGG